GCCCUGUUAGCUCAGUUGGUAGAGCGUGCGGCUUUUAACCGCAAGGUCGGGGGUUCGAGCCCCCCAUAGGGCG